rnacentral:rRNA from 1 species
CGCGCGCUGCUAUAAUGCAGUCGAGCGAACAGAUGAGAAGCUUGCUUCUCUGAUGUUAGCGGCGGACGGGUGAGUAACACGUGGGUAACCUACCUAUAAGACUGGGAUAACUCCGGGAAACCGGGGCUAAUACCGGAUAAUAUUUUGAACCGCAUGGUUCAAUAGUGAAAGACGGUUUCGGCUGUCACUUAUAGAUGGACCCGCGCCGUAUUAGCUAGUUGGUAAGGUAACGGCUUACCAAGGCGACGAUACGUAGCCGACCUGAGAGGGUGAUCGGCCACACUGGAACUGAGACACGGUCCAGACUCCUACGGGAGGCAGCAGUAGGGAAUCUUCCGCAAUGGGCGAAAGCCUGACGGAGCAACGCCGCGUGAGUGAUGAAGGUCUUCGGAUCGUAAAACUCUGUUGUUAGGGAAGAACAAAUUUGUUAGUAACUGAACAAGUCUUGACGGUACCUAACCAGAAAGCCACGGCUAACUACGUGCCAGCAGCCGCGGUAAUACGUAGGUGGCAAGCGUUAUCCGGAAUUAUUGGGCGUAAAGCGCGCGUAGGCGGUUUCUUAAGUCUGAUGUGAAAGCCCACGGCUCAACCGUGGAGGGUCAUUGGAAACUGGGAAACUUGAGUGCAGAAGAGGAGAGUGGAAUUCCAUGUGUAGCGGUGAAAUGCGCAGAGAUAUGGAGGAACACCAGUGGCGAAGGCGGCUCUCUGGUCUGUAACUGACGCUGAUGUGCGAAAGCGUGGGGAUCAAACAGGAUUAGAUACCCUGGUAGUCCACGCCGUAAACGAUGAGUGCUAAGUGUUAGGGGGUUUCCGCCCCUUAGUGCUGCAGCUAACGCAUUAAGCACUCCGCCUGGGGAGUACGACCGCAAGGUUGAAACUCAAAGGAAUUGACGGGGACCCGCACAAGCGGUGGAGCAUGUGGUUUAAUUCGAAGCAACGCGAAGAACCUUACCAAAUCUUGACAUCCUUUGACCGCUCUAGAGAUAGAGUCUUCCCCUUCGGGGGACAAAGUGACAGGUGGUGCAUGGUUGUCGUCAGCUCGUGUCGUGAGAUGUUGGGUUAAGUCCCGCAACGAGCGCAACCCUUAAGCUUAGUUGCCAUCAUUAAGUUGGGCACUCUAGGUUGACUGCCGGUGACAAACCGGAGGAAGGUGGGGAUGACGUCAAAUCAUCAUGCCCCUUAUGAUUUGGGCUACACACGUGCUACAAUGGAUAAUACAAAGGGCAGCGAAUCCGCGAGGCCAAGCAAAUCCCAUAAAAUUAUUCUCAGUUCGGAUUGUAGUCUGCAACUCGACUACAUGAAGCUGGAAUCGCUAGUAAUCGUAGAUCAGCAUGCUACGGUGAAUACGUUCCCGGGUCUUGUACACACCGCCCGUCACACCACGAGAGUUUGUAACACCCGAAGCCGGUGGAGUAACCUUUUAGGAGCUAGCCGUCGAAGUGACAAG